UGGGGAAUAUUGGACAAUGGGCGAAAGCCUGAUCCAGCCAUGCCGCGUGAGUGAAGAAGGCCUUCGGGUUGUAAAGCUCUUUUAGUCGGAAAGAAAAGAUCAUAAUGAACAAUUAUGAUUCAUGACGGUACCGACAGAAAAAGCACCGGCUAACUACGUGCCAGCAGCCGCGGUAAUACGUAGGGUGCGAGCGUUAAUCGGAAUUACUGGGCGUAAAGGGUGCGCAGGCGGUUUUGCAAGUCAGAUGUGAAAGCCCCGGGCUUAACCUGGGAAUUGCGUUUGAAACUACAAGGCUAGAGUGCAGCAGAGGGGAGUGGGAUUCCAUGUGUAGCAGUGAAAUGCGUAGAGAUGUGGAAGAACACCGAUGGCGAAGGCAGCUCCCUGGGUUGACACUGACGCUCAUGCACGAAAGCGUGGGGAGCAAACA
rnacentral:rRNA from 1 species